UACGUAGGGUGCAAGCGUUGUCCGGAAUUAUUGGGCGUAAAGCGCACGUAGGCGGCUUUGCAAGUCCCAUGUGAAAUCCCACGGCUCAACCGUGGAAGUGCAUGGGAAACUGCAGAGCUUGAGUACUUAAGAGGAUCGCGGAAUUCCCGGUGUAGAGGUGAAAUUCGUAGAUAUCGGGAGGAACACCAGUGGCGAAGGCGGCGAUCUGGGAAGAUACUGACGCUGAGGUGCGAAAGCGUGGGGAGCAAACAGG
rnacentral:rRNA from 1 species